GCAGAAGUGGUUUAAUGGUGAGAAUAACGGCUUCCGAGGUCGUAGGUGCGGGUUCGAUUCCCGUCUUCUGCUCCA
rnacentral:tRNA from 1 species